GACGAACGCUGGCGGCGUGCUUAACACAUGCAAGUCGAACGAAGAGCGAUGGAAGCUUGCUUCUAUCAAUCAUAGUGGCGAACGGGUGAGUAACGCGUAAUCAACCUGCCCUUCAGAGGGGGACAACAGUUGGAAACGACUGCUAAUACCGCAUACGAUCUAAUCUCGGCAUCCAGGAGAGAUUAAAGGUGUCCUCGACAUGUAAGCUAUCACUGAAGUUGGGUAUUGCGUCUGAUUAGCUAGCUGGAGGGGUAAAGGCCCACCAAGGCGAUGAUCAGUAGCCGGUCUGAGAGGAUGGACGGCCACAAUGGGACUGAGACACGGCCCAGACUCCUACGGGAGGCAGCAGUGGGGAAUCUUCCGCAAUGGACGAAAGUCUGACGGAGCAACGCCGCGUGAGUGAUGACGGCCUUCGGGUUGGAAAGCUCUGUUAAUCGGGACGAAAGGCCUUCUUGCGAAUAGUGAGAAGGAUUGACGGUACCGGAAGAGAAAGCAACGGCUAACUACGUG
rnacentral:rRNA from 1 species